CGGAGGAUCCAAGCGUUAUCCGGAAUCAUUGGGUUUAAAGGGUGCGUAGGCGGAAUGAUAAGUCAGUGGUGAAAUCCUGCAGCUUAACUGCAGAACUGCCAUUGAUACUGUCAAUCUUGAGUACAUUUGAUGUGGGCGGAAUGUGUCAUGUAGCGGUGAAAUGCUUAGAUAUGACACAGAACACCGAUUGCGAAGGCAGCUCACAAAACUGUAACUGACGCUGAGGCACGAAAGCGUGGGUAUCAAACAGGAUUAGAUACCCUGGUAGUCCACGCUGUAAACUAUGAUUACUCGAUGUUUGCGAUACACUGUAAGCGUCUAAGCGAAAGCGAUAAGUAAUCCACCUGGGGAGUACGCUCGCAAGAGUG
rnacentral:rRNA from 1 species